rnacentral:rRNA from 1 species
UACGGGGGGUGCGAGCGUUGUCCGGAAUCACUGGGCGUAAAGGGCGCGUAGGUGGUCUGAUAAGGGUGUGGUGAAAGCCCGGGGCUCAACCCCGGGUCGGCCGUGCCGACUGUUAGACUAGAGUACUGUAGGGGCAGGCGGAAUUCCGGGUGUAGCGGUGGAAUGCGUAGAGAUCCGGAGGAAGACCGGUGGCGAAGGCGGCCUGCUGGGCAGUUACUGACACUGAGGAGCGAAAGCGUGGGGAGCGAACAGG